rnacentral:misc_RNA from 1 species
GUGAAUCAUCAAAUUUUUGAACGCAAAUUGCACUCCCUGGUAUUCCGGGGAGUAUGCCUGUUUGAGGGUCGUUAGAAUAUAAAAUCGAUGCGGCGCUCUUUUUGUUAAGUGUGAUCGCGUGUGAUUUUAGGCGUGUUUCAAGUGUGAAUGCAGGUCAAGGUGGGUUGAAAUUCGUCCAUCCGGUACGAUUGAAGCGUAUUGAAGAUCAUUUUUGAUUUAGAACACGCGGUGACGUACCUGCUCUUGUAGUACGUUGGACCUUGAUCAU